GCCCCCGUGGCGCAGCGGUUAGCGCUGUUGUCUCCCAAUUUUCGGGUUCAACCCCCCAUUGGGGUCA